rnacentral:rRNA from 1 species
GUGGGGAAUAUUGGACAAUGGGGGGAACCCUGAUCCAGCCAUGCCGCGUGUGUGAAGAAGGCCUUAUGGUUGUAAAGCACUUUAAGCGAGGAGGAGGCUCUUUUGGUUAAUACCCAGAAUGAGUGGACGUUACUCGCAGAAUAAGCACCGGCUAACUCUGUGCCAGCAGCCGCGGUAAUACAGAGGGUGCAAGCGUUAAUCGGAUUUACUGAGCGUAAAGCGCGCGUAGGCGGCCAAUUAAGUCAAAUGUGAAAUCCCCGAGCUUAACUUGGGAAUUGCAUUCGAUACUGGUUGGCUAGAGUGUGGGAGAGGAUGGUAGAAUUCCAGGUGUAGCGGUGAAAUGCGUAGAGAUCUGGAGGAAUACCGAUGGCGAAGGCAGCCAUCUGGCCUAACACUGACGCUGAGGUGCGAAAGCAUGGGGAGCAA